rnacentral:tRNA from 1 species
UGUAGCUCAGUGGUAGAGCACUUGCCUAGAAUGUAUGGGGCCCUGGUUUCAAUUCCCAGUA